GUCCGAUGGGAAGACCUGCGCGACAUGUGGCCGAAGGGGUGGAGCCUGGGCCGUAGCGAAACGCCUAACGCUUUACGUAGACCUACGCGCGGACGAGGGGCACGGCCAGAGUCCCAGACGGGGUCCACGGACUCGCGACUUCCUGUCCUUGGGGAGGAAGCUUUUCCUGAGCUUCUUUCUCUGAAACCCGCCCCAGGACUGUGCCAGUAUCUUCUUUUGGCAUUUGUCACCUUUCUCCUUGAAUUGCCUUCACUUGUCCAUCAACUCCUCAAGGGCAGCAUCCAUGCGAUUAUCUCUGUUUUCCUUGCAUUAGCACCUAGAACAUUGCUGGUACUCAGUAUGUAUUUGUUGGUGCUAAAGUCAGACUUCCAAGGAAUUGUAUACAUUCAUCAAGGAGGUUUUCAAGAAGUUAUUGUAACACAUGUUGAUUUAUAUGCUUGGAUUUAUUUCAUUGAACUGGAAAAUGUAGCCCUUAAAAACAAUGGUUUCUUUCACAGGAAGAAAGCAAAAAUUUCCUCUUUUAGGAUUUUUCAAACUGAAAAAUGUUUGGAAACUAAGUUAAAGUAAAGGAAACAAAGAAAUGCGCAUAAGUUUAUAUUUGUUUUCUAGAGUCUGAAUUUACCAAGCUAAUUAGCUUAACAAUAUUUAAGGUUUUUACAUAAUUUGGUUGAAAUUGUCCAAAUUUUCUUUUGAAGACCACCCUGAGUGUGCAUGUGUGUAUAUAUAAAAUUAUAUGUUUAUAUAAUUAUACCUGGCAGUUUAAAAAUUUUCAACAAUAAUAAUAAAUUUUUGUUAAAUCAUUCCCUUGUUUUUCUCUGAGCCUUAGAAUUCUGACCUGUAAAAGGAGGACAUUUAACUAGAUGAUUUCAAAGAUCUUUUUUGUCAUUUUAUGAAUCUGUGGUACUAAUUGUGGACAUUAUGAUCUUCCUUCUGGUAAAGCUAGCAAAGACAUUCUUCAGAUAACCAGAACUAAGCUAAACCGUUAAUCAGACAAUAUGGUUCAUAUGCCAGUUACUUCUAUUUGUUCAGCUUGUGUAGCUGAAAUAAUAGAUUACCAUUGUUUUCUGCUUUAUGUUCACACCAUCCAAGCAAAGUAUAUCAAUACCUUAACACAGUAUAUUUCUGUAAAAUAAAAAUUUUUUUAAUCACUGAGUUUUGAAUGUGUAAGGUUAAUUUUAAAUAUAUAUCAUUAUUAAUAGGGGUUCUGUUUUUGUUAUGCUGAGUAAGUUUUCAGUAGAUCUACCCUAUCAUAUAUAACAGUAAACUGGACCCCCAAAACACCCCCCAAACAAAAAAGACCCCAAACCUACAACUAUGCAAAAGCUGUGGAGAAAGGCGAGCAGAUUUUGGAGGAGAGAUGAAACUUGGAAGAAGGUGGUGAUGUGGCACAGUCCAGUAUGGCCGACGCUUCCCUGGAAAAGCUGCCAUAUUUCUGCCUUUAGGAAGGCAUUGCCCGGGCCAGUCUAUGCUCUCAGAAAGUGUGUGUCUGUGUGUGUGUAAGGGAGGGAGGUUUUGGGAGGGCAGGGAAGGGAACCAGAGUUCUGCUGCUAACAGUUCAGUUGAGGAAAGAAAGGAAAUCAAACAGAUAUCUGCUGUCUACCUCAAAUGAGAGUUUGCAGUUUGGGUCUAAUUUAAUUGCUUGCUAAAAUAAAAAUGGGAACAUCUUUGGAGGAUAUGUUAGUUUCCUCUUCUGCUAUAAGAAAUUACUACAAACUUAGUUUUAUUCUCUUUAUAGGUCUGGAGGUCAGAAGUCGGAAAUGGGUUUCACUGAACUAAGGAUGGGACUGGAAGCCCUGGGGGUGAAUCUGUUUUGUAGUCAUUUCCAGCUUCUAUAUACUGCUCACAUUCCUUGGCUCAUGGUGCUCUUCCUCCAUUAACAAAGCCAGAGAGUUCAGGUUGGAUCCUUCUUACAUUCAUUGCUCUGACUCUUGUUCACUUUUCUUCUGACUUCCUCUUUCAUUCUAUUUUUUUGGGGGGGCAUUUUUUAUUGUAUUUUUUUCAUUUGCAUUUAGCCCCUUAUACUCCUCUCCCCCCACUUUCUUUCACUCUUAAGGACCCCUGUAAUACAUUGGGUCCACCUGAUAAUCCAGUAUAGUCAUCCAACUUUAAGGUCAUCUAGUUAGCAACCUGAAUUCCUUCUGUAGCUUUAAUUCCCCUUUGCCAUGUAACAUAACAUACAGAUUCCAGGGAUUCAGAUGUGGACAUCUUUGAGCAGGCUGUUAUUCUGCCUACCACAGAAAGUAUAUCUUGAGUCUCCACGAUAUAACAUUCACAAUGUAUAGGAUACUCUAAGAAAUAUUCAACAUAUGAAGAACAUGGAAAAUGUGACCCUUUUCCCAGGAACACGAAAAUCAACAGAGGCCAACCCUGAGAUGACCCAGAUGUUGAAACAAUCAGACAAGGACUUGAAUGCAGCUCUUGUGACCAUGCUCAUUGAGAUAAAGCAACAUGGUGUUGUAAUGAAUGAAAAGGUAGAAAAUCUCAGCAAAGAUAUAGACAAUAUAAGAAGAGCCAAAUGGAAAUUUUAGAAUUAAAAUAUCUGAAAUAAAUCUCAUGAGAUAGGAUUAAGAGCAGAAUUAAGAAAGAGUCAAUACUGGAAGGUCAAUCAAUAGAAAUAAUCAGCCCUGGCUGGUGUAGCUCAGUGGAUUGAGUGUGGGCCCGUGAACCACACAAUCCUGGUUCGAUUCCCUGUCAGGGCACAUGCCUGGGUUGCAGGCCAGUUCCCAGCAGGGGACUCACGAGAGGCAACCAUACAUUGAUAUUUCUUUCCUUCCCUUCCCCUCUAAAGAGAAAUAAAUAAAAUCUUUAAAAAUAUGUUCAAAACAGUAUUCUAAAAGACAGUAACUGCUACUAAUACAAGAUAUAAAAAUUUGAACAACAACAACAAAAAUAAUCAAAACUGAAGGGGGGGAAGUGAACAGAGCCUUAGGCACCUGUGGACAAUAUGAAAAGAUACAUCUUAUUGAAGUCUCAGAAGGAGAGGAAAAAGGGGGAGAUAGGGUAGAAUAAUAUUUGAAGAAAAACCUCUGUGCUGCCCACAUUUGGUUAAAACUCAAGAAGCUCAGCAAACCCUUAAAAGCAUAAAUGUGAAGAAAAUACUAAAAACCAAUGACAACAGGGAGGUCUCGGAAGCAUUCAGAAAAAAGUGAUGUCACGUACACGAGACCAAUAAUUUGAAUGGCCAUGGGCUUACUAUAAACUAUGGAACCUGGAAGACAGAGGAACAAGAUUUUUAAGUGCCAGAAGAAAAAAAGGUGUAAACACCCUGGAAUUUUGUAUCCAGAGAAAAUAUCAUUUGGCAAUAAAAAAGAAUGAAGUAUUUAUACAUGCUGUGACGUGGAUGAAACUUGAACACAUUUUGCUAAGUGAGAGAAACCAGUCACGAAAGACCACAUAUUUCAUAAUUCCAUUUAUAUGAAAUUGGAAUAGCCAAAUCUAUAAAGUCAGUGUAUCAGUGGCUGCUUAAGGCUGGGGGAUGGAGGGAAUGAGGGAUGACCGUUAAUUGGUAUGGGGUUUCUUUUGGGGGUGAUGAAAACACUUUAAAAUUGAUUGUGAUGGUUGCACAACACCAUGAACUUAACUAAAACCCCCUCCAGACUGCUGCAGGAAUUGUUCCACUUCACUCGUUUUCCACCAGAUCUACUCAGCACACAGCAAGCACUUGGAUCAAAUUUCCUAAAACAGGGCUCUGUGAUGAGUACCUUUAUGCAUCAACUCGAUUGUGAAGGGAUGCCCAGACAGCUGGUAAAACAUGGUUCCUGGGUGUUUCUGUGAGGGCGCCUGUGGGAGAGAUCAGCAUUUGAAUUGGCAGGCUAAGUUUUGCCUUUACCAGUGUUGAUGGGCAUGGUUCAGUUUGCUGAGGGCUUGAAUGGAACAAGGCAGAGGACAGGUGAACUUACUCUCUGCUUGUGCUGAGACGUCCAUCUUCUCCUGACUUUGGGCAAUGGCACUUCUGGUUCUUGGGCCUUUGACUUGGACUGAAUUCAAUUCUAUUAGUGGCUUUCCUGGUUCUCCAGCUUGCAGACAGCAGAUCAUGGGACUUAUCAGUCUCCAUAAUUGCAUGAGCCAAUUCCUAUAAUAAAUCUUGUCUUAUAUAUCUCUAUAUGUCUUACUGGUUUUCUUUUUUGGAGAACCCUGACUGAUAUACAUUCCAUCUCUUUCCAAGGCCCUACUCCCUAGCAUCGAAAGCACUUCAUAAUCUGCCUUCACCUUGCUUCUCCGACCUUAUCUGUUGCCCUAACUUCUGCCUUGCCCAGAGCAGAUGCUGGGCUUUCUCACUGUUACUACUCUUUUCAUGAGGUACAUGAGGUAACUCUUUUGUUGCUUUGUGUGAUUUCCCAAGUAAAUUCUAAGUCCUUUGGAUAAUAUUAGUAACAAUAAAGCAGAUAAUAUUUAUUAAGGAUUGUUGUGAGCUUGGUACUAUGAUAACAUAUCUAUAUAUUUCAUCUCAUUUCAUCCACCCAACAACCCCAUGGGGAGAUACUGUCAUUAUUACCAUUUACACCUGAGGCUUCUGUGUUAUAAGGAUAAUUUUCUAAAAGGUAAAAUAAUGACUCAUAUAAAUGUGUAGCGAACACACAUCAAAGAUUUUAUUUAGCUCACUGAUUAAGGAGGAAACCUGUAAUUUGUUAAAAACCAAUUGAAAGAAGAAUCUGAAGAGUGACAUUUAUAGGCUAUCGGGAAUGCUGAAAUGAAUUUGCUAAUAGGUACAAAACUGGUUAAUAGCCUAUAGGUACGAAAAUGUAAUAUUUGGAAUUACCUUUUCUACUGGGCACAAACCAAUUUUAUCUCACUGGACAAAGUUCAUUUGCCUUCCUAUGGACAAAAGUAAUUUGCAUUAAUGUCAGUUUUUCCAACUUAGAAAACUGUGAGUCUAGUCAAAUAC